CCUCUGAGAGGGAUGAAGAUAUUGUUUUCUUUGAUCAGAUUAUGCCGGUAAAGGUUUUCUGGUUUACCCUAUAGGGCUUGUAGCUCAGUUGGUUAGAGCGCGCGCUUGAUAAGCGUGAGGUCGGAGGUUCAAGUCCUCCCAGGCCCACCAGUUACACGAUGCUAAAAGUUGCUAUAUUGGGAGAGUUGAUAAUCCCUUACAGGAAAUUAUUGCCCUUAAUAAAACUUUAUUUUCUAAAAGCAUUCAGAGCUGACAUAGAAUAGAGCUGACAUAGAAUUGAGAAUCUGACAUAGGAAUUAUUGAAAUUGUUUUGGAAUUAUUGAAAUUGUUUUCUAUCAUUUUAAAAGGCUAAAAUAUUCUGUCUCUAUUUUUAAAAUAGCAUCAGGUGUUUUGUAAGAGUGUGAAGUUUUUAAGUGUGAGGUUUUUUAUAUUUUAGUGUGAGGUUUUUAUAAGGGUAUGACGUGAGAGCGUUUUGACCUGUUUUAGGGGCCGUAGCUCAGCUGGGAGAGCACCUGCUUUGCAAGCAGGGGGUCGUCGGUUCGAUCCCGUCCG
rnacentral:antisense_RNA from 15 species